AUUGAACGCUGGCGGCAGGCCUAACACAUGCAAGUCGAGCGAGCGGCGGACGGGUGAGUAAUGUCUGGGAAACUGCCUGAUGGAGGGGGAUAACUACUGGAAACGGUAGCUAAUACCGCAUACCAUCGGAUUUGCCCAGAUGGGAUGAGCUAGUAGGUGGGGUAAAGGCUCACCUAGGCGACGAUCCCUAGCUGGGCUGAGAGGAUGACCCGCCACACUGGAACGGAGACACGGUCCAGACUCCUACGGGAGGCAGCAGGGGGGAAUAUUGCACAAUGGGCGCAAGCCUGAUGCAGCCAUGCCGGGUGUAUGAAGAAGGCCUUCGGGUUGUAAAGUACUUUCAGCGGGGAUGCGUUACCCGCAGAAGAAGCACCGGCUAACUCCGUGCCAGCAGCCGCGGUAAUUC
rnacentral:rRNA from 1 species